rnacentral:rRNA from 1 species
GGUUAAGCGACUAAGCGUACACGGUGGAUGCCCUGGCAGUCAGAGGCGAUGAAGGACGUGCUAAUCUGCGAAAAGCGCCGGCGAGGUGAUAUGAACCCUUGACCCGGCGAUGUCCGAAUGGGGAAACCCAGUGCAAUCCGUUGCACUAUCGUUAACUGAAUACAUAGGUUAACGAGGCGAACCGGGGGAACUGAAACAUCUAAGUACCCCGAGGAAAAGAAAUCAACCGAGAUUCCCCCAGUAGCGGCGAGCGAACGGGGAGCAGCCCGGAGUCUGAAUCAGCUUGUGUGUUAGUGGAACGGUCUGGAAAGUCCGACGGUACAGGGUGAUAGUCCCGUACACGAAAGCACACUUGCUGUGAACUCGAAGAGUAGGGCGGGACACGUGGUAUCCUGUCUGAAUAUGGGGGGACCAUCCUCCAAGGCUAAAUACUCCUGACUGACCGAUAGUGAACCAGUACCGUGAGGGAAAGGCGAAAAGAACCCCGGCGAGGGGAGUGAAAAAGAACCUGAAACCGUGUACGUACAAGCAGUGGGAGCCUCUUUUAUGGGGUGACUGCGUACCUUUUGUAUAAUGGGUCAGCGACUUAUAUUCUGUAGCAAGGUUAACCGUAUAGGGGAGCCGAAGGGAAACCGAGUCUUAACUGGGCGUUAAGUUGCAGGGUAUAGACCCGAAACCCGGUGAUCUAGCCAUGGGCAGGUUGAAGGUUGGGUAACACUAACUGGAGGACCGAACCGACUAAUGUUGAAAAAUUAGCGGAUGACCUGUGGCUGGGGGUGAAAGGCCAAUCAAACCGGGAGAUAGCUGGUUCUCCCCGAAAGCUAUUUAGGUAGCGCCUCGUGAACUCAUCUUCGGGGGUAGAGCACUGUUUCGGCUAGGGGGCCAUCCCGGCUUACCAACCCGAUGCAAACUACGAAUACCGAAGAAUGUUAUCACGGGAGACACACGGCGGGUGCUAACGUCCGUCGUGAAGAGGGAAACAACCCAGACCGCCAGCUAAGGUCCCAAAGUCAUGGUUAAGUGGGAAACGAUGUGGGAAGGCACAGACAGCCAGGAUGUUGGCUUAGAAGCAGCCAUCAUUUAAAGAAAGCGUAAUAGCUCACUGGUCGAGUCGGCCUGCGCGGAAGAUGUAACGGGGCUAAACCAUGCACCGAAGCUGCGGCAGCGACACUUAUGUGUUGUUGGGUAGGGGAGCGUUCUGUAAGCCGUUGAAGGUGUGCUGUGAGGCAUGCUGGAGGUAUCAGAAGUGCGAAUGCUGACAUAAGUAACGAUAAAGCGGGUGAAAAGCCCGCUCGCCGGAAGACCAAGGGUUCCUGUCCAACGUUAAUCGGGGCAGGGUGAGUCGACCCCUAAGGCGAGGCCGAAAGGCGUAGUCGAUGGGAAACAGGUUAAUAUUCCUGUACUUGGUGUUACUGCGAAGGGGGGACGGAGAAGGCUAUGUCAGCCGGGCGACGGUUGUCCCGGUUUAAGCAUGUAGGCGGAGGUUCCAGGUAAAUCCGGUACCUUAUUAACGCUGAGGUGUGAUGACGAGGCACUACGGUGCUGAAGUGAUAAAUGCCCUGCUUCCAGGAAAAGCCUCUAAGCAUCAGGUAACACGAAAUCGUACCCCAAACCGACACAGGUGGUCAGGUAGAGAAUACCAAGGCGCUUGAGAGAACUCGGGUGAAGGAACUAGGCAAAAUGGUGCCGUAACUUCGGGAGAAGGCACGCUGAUGUGUAGGUGAAGCCCCUGCGGGCGGAGCUGAAAUCAGUCGAAGAUACCAGCUGGCUGCAACUGUUUAUUAAAAACACAGCACUGUGCAAACACGAAAGUGGACGUAUACGGUGUGACGCCUGCCCGGUGCCGGAAGGUUAAUUGAUGGGGUUAGCUGUAAGGCGAAGCUCUUGAUCGAAGCCCCGGUAAACGGCGGCCGUAACUAUAACGGUCCUAAGGUAGCGAAAUUCCUUGUCGGGUAAGUUCCGACCUGCACGAAUGGCGUAAUGAUGGCCAGGCUGUCUCCACCCGAGACUCAGUGAAAUUGAACUCGCUGUGAAGAUGCAGUGUACCCGCGGCAAGACGGAAAGACCCCGUGAACCUUUACUAUAGCUUGACACUGAACACUGGUCCUUGAUGUGUAGGAUAGGUGGGAGGCUUUGAAGCGUGGACGCCAGUCUGCGUGGAGCCAACCUUGAAAUACCACCCUUUAAUGGCUGGUGUUCUAACGU